AUACGGAGGAUGCAAGCGUUAUCCGGAUUUAUUGGGUUUAAAGGGUGCGUAGGCGGGACUGUAAGUCAGGGGUGAAAUACUGCAGCUUAACUGUAGCAUUGCCUUUGAAACUGCCGUUCUUGAGUACAGUUGAGGUAGGCGGAAUGUGGUGUGUAGCGGUGAAAUGCAUAGAUAUACCACAGAACGCCGAUUGCGAAGGCAGCUUACUAAGCUGUUACUGACGCUGAGGCACGAAAGCGUGGGGAUCAAACAGGAUUAGAUACCCUGGUAGUCCACGCUGUAAACGAUGAUUACUGGUUGUUAGCGACAUAUAGCUAGUGACUGAGCGAAAGCAUUAAGUAAUCCACCUGGGGAGUACGUCGGCAACGAUGAAACUCAAAGGAAUUGACGGGG
rnacentral:rRNA from 1 species